AUUGAACGCUGGCGGCAGGCCUAACACCUGCAAGUCGAGCGGAGCGGCGGACGGGUGAGUACUACCUAGGAAUCUGCCUGUUAGUGGGGGAUAACGUUCGGACACGGACGCUCAUACCGCAUACUAUCAGCUGAGCCUAGGUCGGAUUAGCUAGUUGGUGCGGUAAGGGCUCACCAAGGCUACGAUCCGUACCUGGGCUGAGAGGAGGAUCAGUCACACUGGAAUGGAGACACGGUCCAGACCCCGACGGAGGGCAGAAGUGGGGAAUAUUGGACAAGGGGCGAAAGCCUGAUGCAGCAAGGCCGGGUGUGUGAAGAAGGUCUUCGGAUUGUAAAGCACUUUAAGUGGGGAGGCGUUACCGACAGAAGAAGCACCGGCUAACUCUGUGCCAGCAGCCGCGUAAUAC
rnacentral:rRNA from 1 species